UUCUUACACGCGGACCCUCGCAUCCCAAACUCAGCAUCUACCGACUGAAGAAUGGCCACCUCCUCGCAAGAGAAGAACUGAAGGACGGAACCACUGCGACGCUAAUAACCCCACUAGAAACACACAGCUUCUAGGAAGAGAAAGUAGAUGCCCCCGCAACAAGACCACAUCCAAAAUACGAACCACGAACCAGACUUGAACCAACUCCUAGCAUAGCGACCUUGAUACAGAUAAGAAGAAAAGCCGAGCACAGGAACAAGACCAGGCCAAACCAACAAGAAAUCUGUUAUAGAAACUAAAGCCGGAACAUUUGGCCCGCCAAAACAAACCCGUUGCUAAAGACACAACAGACACCAAUCGGAAAGACCAACACCAGCAAUCACCUCCAGAACCACCGCCAAGACCAUGACGCUACAAGACCAUCCGAUUAACCAACCCAAACAAGCACGAAGGAAUCCGAGACACGCUCGAUAAGGGACCACCAUGAACCGGCGGCGGACCCAACCCACUAGCCACACGCCCUCCAUGAAAACCGUGACCCGACACAAGCUCCUCGAACCAAAGCCCUCCACCUAACUAGAA
rnacentral:lncRNA from 1 species